UGCGUAGGCGGGUAUUUAAGUCAGUGGUGAAAUCCUACAGCUCAACUGUAGAACUGCCAUUGAUACUGAAUACCUUGAGUAUAGUUGAGGUAGGCGGAAUGUGUAAUGUAGCGGUGAAAUGCAUAGAUAUUACCCAGAACACCAAUUGCGAAGGCAGCUUACUAAACUAUUACUGACGCUGAUGCACGAAAGCGUGGGUAGCGAACAGGAUUAGAUACCCUGGUAGUCC
rnacentral:rRNA from 1 species